rnacentral:rRNA from 1 species
UACGUAGGGGGCAAGCGUUGUCCGGAAUCAUUGGGCGUAAAGAGCGUGUAGGCGGUUUGGUAGGUCCGCUGUGAAAACUCGAGGCUCAACCUCGAGACGCCGGUGGAAACCAUCAGGCUAGAGUCCGGAAGAGGAGAGUGGAAUUCCUGGUGUAGCGGUGAAAUGCGCAGAUAUCAGGAAGAACACCCGUGGCUAAGGCGGCUCUCUAGUACGGUACUGACGCUGAGACGCGAAAGCGUGGGGAGUGAACAGG